AAAUGAACCUGGACACUUAGUGGACUGUAGUCCACCAAAGUGGAAACCAAAUGUUGAACCUUUCUAUUUUUUGCUUCGGCAGCACGUCCCCUUUAGAAGUGGGGGGGCGGUAAGGCUGCCAGAAGCCACAUUAAAAACCAGCCGAUGAAAUGUCAUGCAGUCUGAUACCUUACGGUAUUUUGAGAAAUCAAAUAACUUGUUA
rnacentral:misc_RNA from 1 species